UCAUUACAAUGCAUAACUUAUACUUUGAUACAAUAAUCUAAUAUAUUCAUAUAUAUGUUCCCACCCCAAAGUUGGGAGAAAAUUUUGCCUUAAAUUUCUUAUUUUCCAUGCUGAAGAAACGGAAAGUGGUUGGUCGACUUUUAAGAUCACCGACUAGAGUAGUCAAUCUAUUGGACGAUGUAGAUGAUGGUCCAACUACUCUUAUUGUGGAUACAGAUGUUCAACGCAAGAUCUUCUCAUUGGAGCUUGUAAAGAUUUGGCCAUCCUCCUCCCUCUCACCUUCUACUUCACUAUCAUCAUCCAUCAACAUCACAAAAUAAAGUUAUCUAUGACCAAACAACAAGAAAAGAAAAAAGGAAUAGUUCAUGUUUAGGGUUUAU
rnacentral:lncRNA from 1 species